UGUAGUCAUAUGCUUGUCUCAAAGAUUAAGCCAUGCAUGUCUAAGUAUAAACAACUUUGUACUGUGAAACUGCGAAUGGCUCAUUAUAUCAGUUAUAGUCUACUCGAUAGUACCUUACUACUUGGAUAACCGUAGUAAUUCUAGAGCUAAUACAUGCAUCGAUACCCAACUGCUUGUCGGGCGGGUAGCAUUUAUUAGAUUGAAACCAAUGCAGUCUUCGGGCUGGUAUUGUGUUGAGUCAUAAUAACUGUGCGGAUCGCACUCAGUGCGAUAGGUCGAUUGAGUUUCUGCCCUAUCAGCUUUGGAUGGUAGGAUAUGGGCCUACCAUGGCAUCAACGGGUAACGGGGAAUGGGGCGGGGGCGGCGGGCCGGGCGCGGGGCGCGGCGGGCG
rnacentral:rRNA from 1 species